CCUACGGGAGGCAGCAGUAGGGAAUAUUGGGCAAUGGGCGAGAGCCUGACCCAGCCAUGCCGCGUGCAGGAUGAAGGCCUUCUGGGUUGUAAACUGCUUUUGAUCGGGAACAAAGAGCCCUUGCGAGGGAAGUUGAGUGUACCGAUAGAAUAAGCACCGGCUAACUCCGUGCCAGCAGCCGCGGUAAU
rnacentral:rRNA from 1 species